rnacentral:rRNA from 1 species
UAGAGUUUGAUCCUGGCUCAGGAUGAACGCUGGCGGUCUGCUUAACACAUGCAAGUCGAACGCAACCUUCGGGUUGAGUGGCGGACGGGUGAGUAACGCGUGAGAAUCUGCCUUGGGGUCGGGGACAACCACUGGAAACGGUGGCUAAUACCGGAUAAGCCUUUGGGUAAAAAAUUUAUUGCCCCAAGAGGAGCUCGCGUCUGAUUAGCUAGUUGGUGAGGUAAAAGCUCACCAAGGCAGCGAUCAGUAGCUGGUCUGAGAGGACGAUCAGCCACACUGGGACUGAGACACGGCCCAGACUCCUACGGGAGGCAGCAGUGGGGAAUUUUCCGCAAUGGGCGAAAGCCUGACGGAGCAAGACCGCGUGAGGGAGGAAGGCUCUUGGGUUGUAAACCUCUUUUCUCAGGGAAGAAGCUCUGACGGUACCUGAGGAAUCAGCCUCGGCUAACUCCGUGCCAGCAGCCGCGGUAAUACGGAGGAGGCAAGCGUUAUCCGGAAUUAUUGGGCGUAAAGCGUCCGCAGGUGGCGAUUCAAGUCUGCUGUCAAAGCACGGGGCUUAACUCCGUUAAGGCAGUGGAAACUGAAUAGCUAGAGUGCCGUAGGGUAGAGGGAAUUCCCGGUGUAGCGGUGAAAUGCGUAGAGAUCGGGAGACAUCGGUGGCGAAAGCGCUCUACUGACGCACUGACACCUCAGGACGAAAGCUAGGGG